CUUACAAACGUUUGGAAGAAUUUUACUCACCGAAACUACUAGAAACCGCAGAAAAAUACCGUUUUUACUUACGAAAGCAAGUGGACGGAAAGGCAGUACAAACCUUUGUUGAGGCUAGUCAGCAUACGGGCACAAGCACGUUUAUUAGAAAUGGAAGAUUUAGAUUUCGAGAAAAUACAAAUUGCCACGUUAAUAAAAUUGUCGGAAAAAGACGCCACGCAACUACAAUCGGGAAUUGCUAUCGCGGUCUUCACUACGACACACAGAUCCACGAGACCGCCAAAUAAGCAGUACCGUUCGGUGACUAAUAUUGUUUGUUUCAGAUGUGGCACAAACCAUUUAACGACAAAUUGUACUCUCGAUCGCAAUGUACGAUGUAAAAAUUGCGGAAUUACGAGUCAUGAGAGAGAGAGAGAGAGUUACGAGAUGUGGCAUGCCGCGCGGUUGGUGUCACGUGAAAACGAGACUUGAAAUAAAAAAAAAUGAUGUUGACCCGUA